rnacentral:rRNA from 1 species
GAUGAACGCUGGCGGCGUGCCUAAUACAUGCAAGUCGAGCGAACAGACGAGGAGCUUGCUCCUUUGACGUUAGCGGCGGACGGGUGAGUAACACGUAGGUAACCUACCUAUAAUACUGGGAUAACUUCGGGAAACCGGAGCUAAUACCGGAUAAUAUUUCGAACCGCAUGGUUCGAUAGUGUAAGAUGGCUUUGCUAUCACUUAUAGAUGGACCUGCGCCGUAUUAGCUAGUUGGUAAGGUAACGGCUUACCAAGGCAACGAUACGUAGCCGACCUGAGAGGGUGAUCGGCCACACUGGAACUGAGACACGGUCCAGACUCCUACGGGAGGCAGCAGUAGGGAAUCUUCCGCAAUGGGCGAAAGCCUGACGGAGCAACGCCGCGUGAGCGAUGAAGGUCUUCGGAUCGUAAAACUCUGUUAUUAGGGAAGAACAAAAGUGUAAGUAACUGUGCACGUCUUGACGGUACCUAAUCAGAAAGCCACGGCUAACUACGUG